rnacentral:rRNA from 1 species
CAGUUCGGAUUGCAGGCUGAAAUUCGCCUGCAUGAAGCCGGAAUUGCUAGUAAUGGCAGGUCAGCAUACUGCCGUGAAUACGUUCCCGGGCCUUGUACACACCGCCCGUCACACCAUGAGAGUUGGGAAUACCCGAAGCCUGUGAGCUAACGUAAGAGGCAGCAGUCGAAGGUAGAAUCAAUGAUUGGGGUGAAGUCGUAACAAGGUACC